rnacentral:rRNA from 1 species
UUUAUUGGAGAGUUUGAUCCUGGCUCAGGAUGAACGCUGGCGGCGUGCCUAAUACAUGCAAGUCGAGCGAAUGGAUUA